CGCGCGAUUCGGUGUGAUCCUGUGAUUGGGAAAUUGGGUCUAACCCAUCGAUCACCAGAGGACCUCUGGUAGUGGUCAUUGUGUGUCGUCGGGACGACGACAAAAAUAGCCGGGGAAUAUGUAGCAUGAUGGAUAUGUGGUUGUGCGCCUUUAACGCACGGCAGGUGUCUGCUGGUGCGUUAGCGCGUCAGGUGAUGUUUACGCACCAAUUGCCGGUGCCGAAAUCUCUUUAAAAAGAGGGCCCAAGCCACUGCAAAGGCGCCGGCAUGUUUGUGGCAGGUUCGCCUGUGUUUCCAUGUUCAAUCGGGAGUUCGAGCUUCACUGAAAUUAUGUUGUUCAUGUGGAGUAUCGAGUACUGCCCGAGUGGUUUCUCGUGGCUUUAAGAGCUAAGACUGACGAAGUCUCCAGCUGGAUUGCUGGCUUGAUCCACUCGCGCUGAGUGCCCUGGUAAAGGACUGAAUGUGGUCGCGGUUUCCCCCCUGCCGCGGUUGGAAGUGUGUGUGUCUCAUCGGUCGGGGUGUUGACCCCUUCGUCGAUGUAGCUGUUUG